UACGUAGGGGGCAAGCGUUGUCCGGAUUUAUUGGGCGUAAAGAGCUCGUAGGUGGUUCGGUAAGUCGGAUGUGAAAUCUCCAGGCUCAACCUGGAGGGGUCAUUCGAUACUGCCGUGACUAGAGGUCGGUAGGGGAGUGUGGAAUUCCUGGUGGAGCGGUGAAAUGCGCAGAUAUCAGGAGGAACACCUGCGGUGUAGACGGCUUUCUGGACCAUUGCUGACGCUGAGACACGAAAGCGUGGGUAGCAAACAGG
rnacentral:rRNA from 1 species